rnacentral:rRNA from 1 species
UACGUAGGGUGCGAGCGUUAAUCGGAAUACUGGGCGUAAAGAGUGCGUAGGCGGUUCGUUAUGUCUGCUGUGAAAGCCCCGGGCUUAACCCGGGAAUGGCAGUGGAAACUGGCGGGCUUGAGUGUGGCAGAGGGGGGUGGAAUUCCGCGUGUAGCAGUGAAAUGCGUAGAGAUGCGGAGGAACACCGAUGGCGAAGGCAGCCCCCUGGGCUAACACUGACGCUCAGGCACGAAAGCGUGGGGAGCAAACAGG